rnacentral:rRNA from 1 species
UACGUAGGGAGCGAGCGUUGUCCGAAGUUACUGGGCGUAAAGCGCGCGUAGGCGGGUUUGAAAGUCGGAGGUGAAAUGCUGGGGCUCAACUCCAUGCAGUGCCUCCGAUACUUCAAGUCUUGAGUGCGGUAGGGAGAAGUGGAAUGGCUGGUGUAGCGGUGAAAUGCGUAGAUAUCUGGAGGAACACCGGUGGCGAAGGCGGCAUCCUGGACCAACACUGACACUGAGGAGCGAAAGCCAGGGGAGCAAACGGG